rnacentral:rRNA from 1 species
GACACGCUGGCGGCGUGGAUUAGGCAUGCAAGUCGAACGGUAUCAUCCUUCGGGGGUGAGAGAGUGGCGAACUGGUGAGUAACACGUAGGUUAUCUACCUCAAGACGGGGACAACCCAGGGAAACUUGGGCUAAUACCGGAUGUGAGCAACUUUUAGUGUUUGAAAGGUGGCGUAAGCUGUCGCUUGGGGAUGAGCCUGCGUCCUAUUAGUUAGUUGGUGAGGUAACGGCUCACCUAGGCAAUGAUAGGUAGGCGGCCUUAACGGGUGGUCGCCCACACUGGGAUUGAGAUACGGCCCAGACUCCUACGGGAGGCAGCAGUCGAGAAUAGUCUACAAUGGUCGGAAGACUGAUAGUGCGACGCCGCGUGAACGAUGAAUCCCUUCGGGGUGUAAAGUUCUUUUAUAUGUGAGCAGUGCUUCUUAUAUUAACAGUAUGGGGAGAGAGAUAUUAGCAUAUGAAUAAGCAACGGCUAACUCCGUG